AUACGAAGGGCCCGAGCGUUACGCGAAAUCGCUGGGCUUAAAGGGUGCGUAGGCGGGCCCGUCAGUGUCUUGUGAAAUCCCACGGCUCAACCGUGGAACUGCUUGGCAUACUGCGGGCCUUGAGGUCGAAAGAGGUCGCCGGAACUCUAGGUGUAGCGGUGAAAUGCGUAGAUAUCUAGAGGAACGCCCAAGGCGAAGGCAGGCGACUGGGUCGAUUCUGACGCUGAGGCACGAAAGUAUGGGUAGCGAACGGGAUUAGAUACCCCAGUAGUCC
rnacentral:rRNA from 1 species